CCUUCGAUAGCUCAGUUGGUAAAGCGGAGGACUGUAGAUCCUUAGGUCGCUGGUUCGACUCCGGCUCGAAGGA
rnacentral:tRNA from 1 species